rnacentral:rRNA from 1 species
AUGAUUUUUUUCAUUAUUGUGAACUUUUUAAAAAAUGGCACGUAUUUACUUUGGCGAGAGGCACGAACGUGCCUCUUGAAAAGGAAAAAAUGUGUUUUGAAAACACAUUUUCUUUUUUUCCUAUCACAAGAGGCACAUAUUUACUUCUCAUAG